AGUGAACGCUGGCGGUAGGCCUAACACAUGCAAGUCGAACGGCAGCACAGUAAGAGCUUGCUCUUACGGGUGGCGAGUGGCGGACGGGUGAGGAAUACAUCGGAAUCUACUUUUUCGUGGGGGAUAACGUAGGUAAACUUACUCUAAUACCGCAUACGACCUACGGUUGAAAGCAGGGGAUCUUCGGACCUUGCGCGAUUGAAUGAGCCGAUGUCGGAUUAGCUAGUUGGCGGGGUAAAGGCCCACCAAGGCGACGAUCCGUAGCUGGUCUGAGAGGAUGAUAAGCCACAUUGGAACUGAGACAGGGUCCAGACUACUACGGGAGGCAGCAGUGGGGAAUAUUGGACAAUGGGCGCAAGCCUGAUCCAGCCAUACCGCGUGGGUGAAGAAGGCCUUCGGGUCGUAAAGCCCUUUUGUUGGGAAAGAAAAGCAGCAGGUUAAUACCCCGCUGUUCUGACGGUACCCAAAGAAUAAGCACCGGCUAACUUCGUG
rnacentral:rRNA from 1 species